rnacentral:tRNA from 1 species
AUUUAAGUAGUUUAAUAAAAAUAGAAAUUUGUGAUUUUUCAGAUGCUGUAAGGUCUUAAGUU